rnacentral:tRNA from 1 species
GGAGAGGUGGCCGAGUGGUUGAAGGCGCCGCUCUCGAAAAGCGGUAAGUCAAAAGCUUCGUGGGUUCGAAUCCCACCCUCUCCGCCG